CCUACGGGUGGCUGCAGUGAGGAAUAUUGGUCAAUGGGCGCGAGCCUGAACCAGCCAAGUAGCGUGAAGGAUGACUGCCCUACGGGUUGUAAACUUCUUUUAUAAAGGAAUAAAGUGAGGCACGUGUGCCUUUUUGUAUGUACUUUAUGAAUAAGGAUCGGCUAACUCCGUGCCAGCAGCCGCGGUAAUACGGAGGAGCCGAGCGUUAUCCGGAUUGAGUGGGUUUAAAGGGAGCGUAGAGGGGUUGUUAAGGCAGUUGUGAAAGUUUGCGGCUCCACCGGAAAAUUGCCAUUGAUACGGGCAGUCUUGAUUACAGUUGAGGUAGGCGGACUUCGUGUUGUAGCCGUGACAUGCUUCGAUCUCAC
rnacentral:rRNA from 1 species